CAAGUCGAACGGGAAUCUUCGGAUUCUAGUGGCGGACGGGUGAGUAACGCGUAAGAAUCUAACUUCAGGACGGGGACAACAGUUGGAAACGACUGCUAAUACCCGAUAUGCCGCGAGGUGAAACCUAAUUGGCCUGAAGAAGAGCUUGAGUCUGAUUAGCUAGUUGGUGGGGUAAGAGCCUACCAAGGCGACGAUCAGUAGCUGGUCUGAGAGGAUGAGCAGCCACACUGGGACUGAGACACGGCCCAGACUCCUACGGGAGGCAGCAGUGGGGAAUUUUCCGCAAUGGGCGAAAGCCUGACGGAGCAACGCCGCGUGAGGGAGGAAGGUCUUUGGAUUGUAAACCUCUUUUCUCAAGGAAGAAGUUCUGACGGUACUUGAGGAAUCAGCCUCGGCUAACUCCGUGCCAGCAGCCGCGGUAAUACGGGGGAGGCAAGCGUUAUCCGGAAUUAUUGGGCGUAAAGCGUCCGCAGGUGGUCAGCCAAGUCUGCUGUCAAAUCAGGUUGCUUAACGACCUAAAGGCGGUGGAAACUGGCAGACUAGAGAGCAGUAGGGGUAGCAGGAAUUCCCAGUGUAGCGGUGAAAUGCGUAGAGAUUGGGAAGAACAUCGGUGGCGAAAGCGUGCUACUGGGCUGUAUCUGACACUCAGGGACGAAAGCUAGGGGAGCGAAAGGGAUUAGAUACCCCUGUAGUCCUAGCCGUAAACGAUGGAUACUAGGCGUGGCUUGUAUCGACCCGAGCCGUGCCGAAGCUAACGCGUUAAGUAUCCCGCCUGGGGAGUACGCACGCAAGUGUGAAACUCAAAGGAAUUGACGG
rnacentral:rRNA from 1 species